rnacentral:lncRNA from 1 species
UAAACCUCAAGGAGGGUCGGAUUCUUUUUUACCAGUUAUCUCCAAUCAGGCACCUGUACCGUGAAACCCCUCAGAGCUGUUGAUAAUGCAUUCCUUCCUUCUUUGCUUAGAAACCUAUGGACCCUUCCCAGCUCGGUCCAAAAUUGCGACCUGAUCAUUGCUGAUUUUAUUGAAAGAUGUGUCAUCGUAAAAAAUCUAAACUUUCUAGCCAAAUCCCGAGUAAAAUGUCGAGGCCUGAAUUUUCUCAGAGAGUUGCCAAGAGCCUUGAAAAGAGCAGCUUCCCCAAACAAGGGAAGGAACUCGCUGGCAAAAUUCCCAUAGUCCUUCAGUAAUGCAUCUGGAGAAGAACUCACAACGGUUGGUUUCCAUAUCAUAAACUCUGAGUCAUCGACUACCACAAAAUCUUUCUUUUGGAGAGUCCCAUUCCAACUGUUACCCAGUGCAUGUUCUACAGUCAUUUUAUGCAAAUAAGAAGUCACUGCUCUUCUUCCUAUCAAUGUUGUUUCAUCAACCUCCAUGGAAUUUGCACCAGAAAAUAUUGUAUGUUUUGCGGUUAUUGCAUUACCAGGCAAUUUAAUAAAUUCAGUGAAUGGUACCACACUGCAAAUAUAACAUUCAAAUUAUGUUAAUAAAUCAACUCAAAUGAAAAAUACAACUUCGAAUAAGCAACAGUAUGCACAAACAACAAAGAUGGUAAACGCCACAAAAUAAAUUAACUCAAAUGAUAAAUACAACUUUGAAUAAGCAACAAUAUAGACAAACAACAGAGAUGGUAAAUCCAGAAAACAUGUUGUAUUUGAGACAACCAUAAUGGUUUAUUAUUGUGUGCGUGGAAAUAAGAGCUCUACUCCAAAAAAGACUGUUUGGCAUCAUAGCAAUUUGCAAAGCUGGAACCCCUGUCCAAGCAUCGGAAAAGGUCAAACCUGGAGGUGCCAGCAUUCGCUGCAGAUGGAAACAACUUGUAAGCAGAAGCUGUGGAUGAUAGACUUUCCAAGGCAGUGUUAGAUGAUGAGUCAGACACCUUAAAUCUGUGUGCCUUCCUUUUUGAAGUUACUACAGUCCAAUCACCCCCAUGAGUCUCGUCGGUCCCAAUUACUAGUGGCUUCCCAAUUACUAGUGGCUUCCAUUUU